rnacentral:rRNA from 1 species
AAUGAACGCUGGCGGCGUGCCUAACACAUGCAAGUCGAGCGGUAAGGCCCCUUCGGGGGUACACGAGCGGCGAACGGGUGAGUAACGCGUGGGUAACCUACCCAGAAGUGGGGGAUAGCCCCGGGAAACCGGGGGUAAUACCGCAUGUGCUUCGGUCGACGCGAGUCGACCGAUGGAAAGACGGGGAUCCUUCGGGACCUGGCGCUUCUGGAUGGGCCCGCGUCCGAUUAGCUAGUUGGCAGGGUAAAGGCCUACCAAGGCGACGAUCGGUAGCCGGCCUGAGAGGGUGUCCGGCCACAUUGGGACUGAGACACGGCCCAGACUCCUACGGGUGGCAG